UACGAAGGGUGCAAACGUUGUUCGGAAUUAUUGGGCGUAAAGCGCGCGUAGGCGGCUUUGCAAGUCGGGUGUGAAAUCCCUCGGCUUAACCGGGGAACUGCGUCUGAUACUGGAUGGCUUGAGUUCGGGAGAGGGAUGCGGAAUUCCAGGUGUAGCGGUGAAAUGCGUAGAUAUCUGGAGGAACACCGGUGGCGAAGGCGGCAUCCUGGACCGACACUGACGCUGAGGAGCGAAAGCCAGGGGAGCAAACGGG
rnacentral:rRNA from 1 species